UACGUAGGGUGCGAGCGUUAAUCGGAAUUACUGGGCGUAAAGCGUGCGCAGGCGGUCUGUUAAGACCGAUGUGAAAUCCCCGGGCUUAACCUGGGAACUGCAUUGGUGACUGGCAGGCGUUGAGUGUGGCAGAGGGAGGUAGAAUUCCACGUGUAGCAGUGAAAUGCGUAGAGAUGUGGAGGAAUACCGAUGGCGAAGGCAGCCUCCUGGGCCAACACUGACGCUCAUGCACGAAAGCGUGGGGAGCAAACAGG
rnacentral:rRNA from 1 species